GGUGACUGCGUACCUUUUGUAUAAUGGGUCAGCGACUUAUAUUCUGUAGCAAGGUUAACCGUAUAGGGGAGCCGAAGGGAAACCGAGUCUUAACUGGGCGUUAAGUUGCAGGGUAUAGACCCGAAACCCGGUGAUCUAGCCAUGGGCAGGUUGAAGGUUGGGUAACACUAACUGGAGGACCGAACCGACUAAUGUUGAAAAAUUAGCGGAUGACCUGUGGCUGGGGGUGAAAGGCCAAUCAAACCGGGAGAUAGCUGGUUCUCCCCGAAAGCUAUUUAGGUAGCGCCUCGUGAACUCAUCUUCGGGGGUAGAGCACUGUUUCGGCUAGGGGGCCAUCCCGGCUUACCAACCCGAUGCAAACUACGAAUACCGAAGAAUGUUAUCACGGGAGACACACGGCGGGUGCUAACGUCCGUCGUGAAGAGGGAAACAACCCAGACCGCCAGCUAAGGUCCCAAAGUCAUGGUUAAGUGGGAAACGAUGUGGGAAGGCACAGACAGCCAGGAUGUUGGCUUAGAAGCAGCCAUCAUUUAAAGAAAGCGUAAUAGCUCACUGGUCGAGUCGGCCUGCGCGGAAGAUGUAACGGGGCUAAACCAUGCACCGAAGCUGCGGCAGCGACGCUUAGGCGUUGUUGGGUAGGGGAGCGUUCUGUAAGCCGUUGAAGGUGUGCUGUGAGGCAUGCUGGAGGUAUCAGAAGUGCGAAUGCUGACAUAAGUAACGAUAAAGCGGGUGAAAAGCCCGCUCGCCGGAAGAC
rnacentral:rRNA from 1 species